CCUACGUGAGGCAGCAGUGGGGAAUAUUGGGCACUGGGCGCAAGCCUGACCCCGCAACGCCGCGUGAAGGAAGAAGGCUUUCGGGUUGUAAACUUCUUUUCUCAGGGACGAAGAAAGUGACGGUACCUGAGGAAUAAGCCACGGCUAACUACGUGCCAGCAGCCGCGGUAAUACGUAGGUGGCAAGCGUUAUCCGGAUUUACUGGGUGUAAAGGGCGUGUAGGAGGGAAAGCAAGUCAGAUGUUAAAACCAUGGGCUCAACCUGUGGCCUGCAUUUGAAACUGUUUUUCUUGAGUACUGGAGAGGCAGACGGAAUUCCUAGGGUAGCGGUGAAAUGCGUAGAUAUUAGGAGGAACACCAGUGGCGAAGGCGGUCUGCUGGACAGCAACUGACGCUGAGGCGCGAAAGCGUGGGGAGCAAACAGGAUUAGAUACCCGUGUAGUC
rnacentral:rRNA from 1 species